GUUCUUAGGACCGACUCUAAGCUCACGAGCCUGGAGUCUGAUGCUCUCUGUGAUCUGGCCAAUGCUGGCCCCUCUGGCCUAGUCCUGAUCAUCCCAGGCACACACCCUCCUUGGUGCCCAGCAGAGCUCCCUCAGAGCAGAAUGAAGAGGGGAAGGAGCGUCCACACCACCAUGCUUUGAACGUGGAGCCCCUUGGCCUGGAAUAGCUUCCUGAUACUCUGAGUCCCUGGGCAGUUCCAACUCCCUGGAGAGUCUGGCCUCCUGAGGGUUCUACGACGGGGCCUGUUCUCCCUCUCCACAGAAGAAGAGACCGAGGUCAGAGAGGCUCAAUGCCCCGCCUGAGCCUGCACUGCUAGGACUCACACCCAGGUCCUGGGCCCCCGUAGUGUGUCCUCCGCUUUGAAGCAAGUUGGUCAGAGAAGCACACCCCUGGCAGUGGACUGCCCGGCAGAGGCAUCAGCUGCUCUGCUGGGACCCUGUGAGGGCUCCUCUAGGGAGGCCACCUGCUGACCACGCUCCUGUAAGUGCCGGAGCACGGUGGUCUCCAUCAGGCGUUGGGACCCCCCACUGGCUCUUGGGACUUGCAGCUGAGCAGAUGCAACAUGGCACGUGAGAGCAGAGUGGCUUCUGAGUGGCGGCUGGAAACCCAGCAGAUUCAACCUGUAGGGCAUGCUGUGCAAAUGUGGGCAGACAGCGUGCAGCAGUUGCCAUCGGCGUCCCUCCCGGCCUCUGGCCAUCAUGAGGCCAAGGCUCUGACCUCUUCCAGCACCCUGAGCAUGAGGCCCCGAGAAGGCACCAUCACAACCAGGGUCCUGUUUGUCAUGACUACCUGGAUUGCUCAAAUUCCCAUUUGACUCAGGAAGACAUGGCAUCUCUGGAAAUUGAGGCUGAGCUGGCAGGAGGGAGCUGGGAUUCCCACCUGCACCUGCCCCUUCCCUGGGGAUUUGCUGGUAGGACCUACAGGGACAGGUGGGGGGCUUGGUCCAGCAUCGCCGCUCCUCAUGCACCCCUCAGGAAAAUGUCUAGAGCCAUGGGGAGCUGACCAUCAUUUCUUAGGAGCCUUUAGGCCAAAGGACAAAAAGGUGACACUGCCCCACCCCCACGACGCCAGGGACCCUGGACCUCAGGCCGAGGGUCAGCAUCCCCAUGAUCUCAGGCCUGAGGCUGGCUUCCCUUGAGGGGUGUCGGCCUGGCAGUGUGUCCCAGACAGCUCAGCUAUCUCCAAAGGCCCUGGGAAGCUGGGCUCUGCUGACCCCACACUCUGCUCUCAGGACCCCCUGUCUGUUCCCAAGGCUCCAGCCAAGUCCCCUGCCAGCUCAGGGUGUGUAGGAGACCCCUCCCUCACCACCCCGAUCUCUCAGCAUAAACUCCAUUCUGCCAA